rnacentral:rRNA from 1 species
AACGGCGAAGUGAAGCGGCAAGAGCUCAAAUUUGAAAUCUGGCUCCUUCGGGGCCCGAGUUGUAAUUUGUAGGGGAUGCUUCGGGCGUGGCCGCGGUCUAAGUCCCCUGGAACGGGGCGUCGCAGAGGGUGAGAAUCCCGUCUUCGGCCGGCCGGCCCCGCCCGUGUGAAGCUCCUUCGACGAGUCGAGUUGUUUGGGAAUGCAGCUCUAAAUGGGUGGUAAAUUUCAUCUAAAGCUAAAUACUGGUCGGAGACCGAUAGCGCACAAGUAGAGUGAUCGAAAGAUGAAAAGCACUUUGAAAAGAGAGUUAAACAGCAUGUGAAAUUGUUGAAAGGGAAGCGCUUGCGACCAGAGUCGGCCGCGGGGGCUCAGCGGGCACUCGUUGCCCGUGCACUCCCCCGUGGUCGGGCCAGCGUCGGUUUCGACGGCCGGUCAAAGGCCCCCGGAAUGUGUCGCCUCUCGGGGCGUCUUAUAGCCGGGGGUGCAAUGCGGCCAGUCGGGACCGAGGAACGCGCUCCGGCACGGACGCUGGCUUAAUGGUCGUAAGCGACCCGUCUUGAAACACGGACCAAGGAGUCUAACAUCCACGCGAGUGUUCGGGUGUCAAACCCGUCCGCGCAGUGAAAGCGAACGGAGGUGGGAACCCUCAAGGGUGCACCAUCGACCGAUCCUGAAGUCUUCGGAUGGAUUUGAGUAAGAGCGUGGCUGUUGGGACCCGAAAGAUGGUGAACUAUGCCUGAAUAGGGUGAAGCCAGAGGAAACUCUGGUGGAGGCUCGCAGCGGUUCUGACGUGCAAAUCGAUCGUCAAAUUU